rnacentral:rRNA from 1 species
UACGUAGGGGGCAAGCGUUGUCCGGAAUCAUUGGGCGUAAAGCGCGCGUAGGCGGCCUCGUAAGUCCGUUGUGAAAGUCAAAGGCUCAACCUUUGAAAGCCGAUGGAUACUGUGAGGCUAGAGUCCGGAAGAGGCGAGUGGAAUUCCUGGUGUAGCGGUGGAAUGCGCAGAUAUCAGGAGGAACACCGAUAGCGAAGGCAGCUCGCUGGGACGGUACUGACGCUAAGGCGCGAAAGCGUGGGGAGCAAACAGG